GGCUGGCUGACUGAUUAUUCCCUUCAUUUAGAGCCCGCCCACCGACAUCGAAAUAUAGCCUCGACUUUCCAUGUAUAUUACAUUUUUUUACCCGGGGUUUGACAGACACUUCUAGCAACCAAAGAGCGCUGAUCUGUGAGGUUGUGAGGUAGCAGAAGUUGAGCUGAGAGCACCGGAGCAAGACUGCGCACCAGGCGCUCUCCAAACCAAAUGUUUGAGUGACCAUAAGCAGACAAUCCACCCUGGAUAUGCACACCUUUUCUCUCUGUAACUUGUCGAUCACACCAAAACUAUGUUUCAAAGUUCGGAAAACCCCCAGAAUCCAUAAACUAUGUCUCACUAAUUAAUAAGCAGCACUUAUGAAUUACCAUAAUGAAAUUCAUUUAAAGAAAGUCACGAUUUACACAAACAUUUUUAUAAGCAAAAACUUUCAGUCUUUUUUGUCCUGUUUACAUUUGUUUUCAAUUCAGUGGCUGUUUAAUCGGACCAGUUGUCCCGUGUUAUGCAUUAUUUAACAGUUGUUGAAGACAAACAAGGGGGUAUGUUUCUCAAAGUGCACGCGCGUGGAAGCCAGACAUUAUGGACUGGAGUAGAACGGGGUUGGAGGGCGUUUUUAGGUAGUAUAUAGCGGUUUUCAAGGAUACACGCUAGAUUGAACAGCGAUUGAGUAUUACACCACAAAGGCACUGAAAACACUGCGAGGGACGUUUGAGCAGGUGAUCGGGUUUCUCCUCUGGCCCAUCAGCUGAAUAGGUGGGGCUUGAUCAAUGGCAGGAAACUGAAGGAUCAAAUGACAUAAAAUGGUGCCAGGCUGCGACAUGAAGGCAGAGGCUGUGAAACCGUACCCUCAUCAUCAGACUGUACAGUAGAAAGACAGAAUCACAAUCCUGGUGAAAGCAGGGCAUAAAAACACUGCUGCAUGAUAAGGAGCUGCGCAGGGACUUUGAACAUUUUAUUAGUAUCUAUAAAAGAGGCACAAGACGACGGACACACUGUCUAUAAAGCCCUAAUGGAGGAUCAAUUAAGAUGGUCAAGCUGCAGAAAGAGACUUUUACAGUGUAGGGUUUUAACACUAAACUUGUCCUUUCACACUAACGCUGAAACCACAAGACUGGAAAAUGCAGUGCAGGUUUAAUUCCAGCGCAUCUAGCAAUAUAUUGAGAUCACUAACAGUAAACAAGUUUGUUCUGGUGUAAAUAUAAAAUCAAGCAGAUUAAGAAUGACAGAAGGGUUGAGCUUACAUGUUUUAUGGGGACUUUCCAUGGACAUUCAUUUUUAUGUUGUUCAAACCGUAUGCAAUCCCUAAGUCUAAACUUAACCUGAAAGAAAUAAUUUUGCAUUCUUGUUAAGAAAACCUAGUUUACUGUGUUUUAUAAGCUGUACUUCACAAAAAAAGCCUAGCAGCAUUGGAAAUCCCCAAAGCACACAUUUAAUUUUUUUUUAUUAUUUAUCAGUCAAAAAUAAGACGUAUCUUUUUUUUGUCUACAUCAAAUUGAAUUUGUAAUUUUAUACACACAGAAAUAAUUUUGUGCAUCCACAAUUAAAGUGUCUAUCUCAAUGUUUCAGAUGACUUUAGUGAAAAAUAAAAUGUCAAAAUACUGCCAUAAUAAAAUGCAUAUUUUAAAUAAUAAUUUUUUUUCUAGUUGACAAAUGUGUAAAGAAAAGUGGAAAUAUGAAUACAAAAAUAUUAAAUUCAAUUAAUUUUUAUUUUAGGGCACAGUGAUCCUUAAAUAAAGUUUUUCUUUAAUAUAUUAUACAAUUAUUAUUGUACUAAAAACACCUGAUAAAAAAAGAA